rnacentral:rRNA from 1 species
UGGCGGACGGGUGAGGAAUACAUGGGAAUCUGCCCAGUCGUGGGGGAUAACGUAGGGAAACUUACGCUAAUACCGCAUGCGCCCUUCGGGGGAAAGCCGGGGACCUUCGGGCCUGGCGCGAUUGGAUGAGCCCAUGUCGGAUUAGCUAGUUGGCGGGGUAAAGGCCCACCAAGGCGACGAUCCGUAGCUGGUCUGAGAGGAUGAUCAGCCACACUGGAACUGAGACACGGUCCAGACUCCUACGGGAGGCAGCAGUAGGGAAUAUUGGACAAUGGGCGCAAGCCUGAUCCAGCCAUGCCGCGUGUGUGAAGAAGGCCUUCGGGUUGUAAAGCACUUUUGUCCGGAAAGAAAAGCGCUGGGUUAACACCCUGGUGUCCUGACGGUACCGGAAGAAUAAGCACCGGCUAACUUCGUGCCAGCAGCCGCGGUAAUACGAAGGGUGCAAGCGUUACUCGGAAUUACUGGGCGUAAAGCGUGCGUAGGUGGUUUGUUAAGUCUGAUGUGAAAGCCCUGGGCUCAACCUGGGAAUGGCAUU